rnacentral:rRNA from 1 species
UACGUAGGGUGCGAGCGUUGUCCGGAAUUACUGGGCGUAAAGAGCUCGUAGGCGGUUUGUCGCGUCGUCCGUGAAAACUUGGGGCUCAACCCCAAGCUUGCGGGCGAUACGGGCAGACUUGGGUACUGCAGGGGAGACUGGAAUUCCUGGUGUAGCGGUGAAAUGCGCAGAUAUCAGGAGGAACACCGGUGGCGAAGGCGGGUCUCUGGGCAGUAACUGACGCUGAGGAGCGAAAGCGUGGGUAGCGAACAGG